rnacentral:rRNA from 1 species
AGAGUUUGAUCCUGGCUCAAAUUGAACGCUGGCGGCAGGCCUAACACAUGCAAGUCGAGCGGUAGAGAGAAGCUUGCUUCUCUUGAGAGCGGCGGACGGGUGAGUAAUGCCUAGGAAUCUGCCUGGUAGUGGGGGAUAACGUUCGGAAACGGACGCUAAUACCGCAUACGUCCUACGGGAGAAAGCAGGGGACCUUCGGGCCUUGCGCUAUCAGAUGAGCCUAGGUCGGAUUAGCUAGUUGGUGGGGUAAUGGCUCACCAAGGCGACGAUCCGUAACUGGUCUGAGAGGAUGAUCAGUCACACUGGAACUGAGACACGGUCCACACUCCUACGGGAGGCAGCAGUGGGGAAUAUUGGACAAUGGGCGAAAGCCUGAUCCAGCCAUGCCGCGUGUGUGAAGAAGGUCUUCGGAUUGUAAAGCACUUUAAGUUGGGAGGAAGGGCAGUAAAUUAAUACUUUGCUGUUUUGACGUUACCGACAGAAUAAGCACCGGCUAACUCUGUGCCAGCAGCCGCGGUAAUACAGAGGGUGCAAGCGUUAAUCGGAAUUACUGGGCGUAAAGCGCGCGUAGGUGGUUAGUUAAGGUGGGAUGUGAAAUCCCCCGGGCUCAACCUGGGAACUGCAUUCAAACUGACUGACUAGAGUAUGGUAGAGGGGGGGGGUUAUAUUCGCGGUGUGUAGCGGGUGAAUGGCUAAAAUAAAGGAAGGAACCCCGGGGGGCGAAGGGCGGCUUUUCUGGAACCUAACUUUGACGCUGAGCCCGAAGCGUGGGGAGCAAACAUGAUUAGAUCCCUGUAGUCCCACGCAGUAAACGAUGAAUGCUAGACGUGUGGGGAGCUUAACUUCUCAUGCGCAGCUAACGCAUAGCAUCGCUGAGAGAUACGGCGUAAGUUAACUCAAGUAUGACGGUCGCAUGCGUGAAGCAGCAUCAAC